rnacentral:lncRNA from 1 species
GGAAUGGGGAGAAGAGCACAGGGGAGUUCAGUGACUCUCACACAGCAGCUGUUAUCGCCCUUUGUUAUUUCAGCCCAACAAGGGAAGCUUUAUCAGCAUCUUCCACGGUCUUCCCUGGGAGCAACUGGUGGAGUUCAAGUCGAUGAGAAAGUGGGGAUAUAGUGGUGCUCAGAAGUGACUGAAUGCAGGAGUUGAGACUGGAAUUCAGAUGUGAGUGGAAAGUGAUACAAGACAUUGACAGUGAAUUCAAGGGACCCUCAGAGUUUGAGAAUUUUCUGAUGUGGGUGCAUCACAGAGACCUCUCCCCUGAACUCUUCUUUCCACCCUUUCCUGUAGUUAUAAUGACUUUAGAAUGAAUAUGGAAUCACAAG